AGGAGGACCCGGUUUCCCGAGUCUGGUAACUCUUGAAAUGUUUUUUCGGGGUGCUGGGCCCGGCCGGUCCGACUAUCCCCGAUCUUCGCCAUCCAGCCCCGAUACAAUAGUGUUGGCACAGCCCGUGGUUGGAACUGUCCCCGCCACUUAAUAAUCUCCAUGAUUGGAAAGGGGUGUAAAUUAUGCAAAAAAAAAUUUAAAAUGAAAUUUAAAUAUAAUCAUGUUUAUGAAAUUUACACUUACAAAUAAAACAAAUUUUAAAAAAUUAAAUACAUUGAGGCAAAUAAUCAAUCAGAUGGUCAGAUGGUAAAUUAAUCACUUACUAUCUUAAUAGAUUCGAAUUUAAUUCGGCCUAUGCCUUCAGUUUUUUAGGAUGGUCCAGGCCCAACCUGCUGAACUUCAUUCUUCAGCCUUUCGGUUGACCUCACUAAAUGUUUUGGAUCCUUAAUAAUCUCCAUGAUUGGAAAGGGGCGUAAAAAAAUUUUAGCUAGCCAGUGAUGAGCUCUAAAAAUGACAUCGCUAGAUAAAGUAUAUCCUAUGAAUGAUAUGUCAUUUUAGCUAACCUAGAAGUCCUAUUUGAUGAAAUUAAAAAUAAAAUUUAUAGAGCUACUAUAUUCACCUGGAGACAUUUUCCGUUAUCUUGAAUUAUGCUACCGAAUCAUACUGAGGAAUAUUUGGCGAAAACCACUUAUAAAUCACAUCACGAGCUGGCCAUUGCCCAUGAUAAGAUCAUUGGAAGGUUUCGGAUGAUAUUAAACAAGCCAGAUAGGACCCAUCCUUAUAAAAAUGAUGUUUCGAAUCCGGAAUUGAACCCAUUCAGAAAAAUAAUAAUCGAUUGUAUAACCACGUUUCAAUCCUAUGGACUCAGAGCAUUCAAAUAUGAUCAAAAUAUAUUUUUGUUACAAAUAUUGCCACUUUCUACUCAGGCAGAAUACUGAAUAGCGGCGCGAAACGGACCCUGCCAUCAGCCAGAUUAUGAAAGAUCCAGAUUAUGAAUUCAGAUUAUGAAUUGAUUCCAGAUUAUGAAUUGAUUCAGAUUAUGAUUAUGAUUCCAGAUUAUGAAAGCAUCAGCCUGGACUCCAUGAAUAAAUUUUUUUCGAGAAUCUUAUACUUCAGAAACCCCGUGGAAAUCUGAGACAUUUCCCUGAGGCCAAUCCAGUCUAUUAAUAAAAAUACAUAAUUUGGAAAGACGCUAAUGACUGACAGACAUUUGACUAAUAGACAUUUUUUUGGGUCAACAGAUGACGCCACAUUUUCAUUCUAGUAGAACACAAAGUGACGGGGCGAAAUAAGCCCUUCCACAGACUGCCCAUCCCUGCCGAGGAAUCAGCCGGAUUGUGGAAGACGCGGAUCGAAGUGCCGGGCCCGCA
rnacentral:lncRNA from 1 species